rnacentral:sRNA from 1 species
CGCGCUGCGAAGGACGCCCUGCGGCUG